rnacentral:rRNA from 1 species
AUGGACCAAAAUAUCCUUGAGCUAAUACUUGAGGGGAGCAUGAAGCCAAUGAAUCUGCCUUUAGAAACUUUACGGAAAAUCACUGAUGGGUUUUCAUCGGAUAGAAUAAUCGGUGAAGGUGGAUUUGGAACUGUCUAUAAGGGUGAUGUUGGAAAUGAAAAUGUUGCCAUCAAGAGGAUUAAGAGUGGCAUGACUAUAAAUGACAAGCUCUUUCGUCGUGAGGUUGACAAUCUGAUGGAGGUUAACCAUCCAAAUGUCGUCCGGUUUCUUGGCUUGUGUUCUAAUACAGUGGAGACACCAGUGAAAGACCCAGAAUCCCGAGGAUAUAUUUAUGCUGAGAUAAGAGAAAGAUUGCUUUGUUUUGAGUAUGUUAGUAAUGGAAGCCUCGAUACAAGGAUUACCGACGAAUUAAGAGGACUUGAAUGGGAUACACGUUACGGGAUAAUCAAAGGGAUAUGUGCUGGUUUGCAUUAUCUACACAUGGAGAAACAUAUUCUUCAUAUGGAUCUGAAGCCAGCCAAUAUACUAUUGGAUAAUCAAAUGGUUCCGAAGAUAACCGACUUUGGUCUAUCAAGACCCAUGGAAAACUCACAAACAAUGACAACAAACCAUUUUGCAUCACCAGGGUAUAGCGCCCCAGAAAACCUAUUUGGUGGUGGUAAAAUGUCCAUCCAAUCCGACAUGCAUAGUUUGGGCGUCAUAAUUAUCGAACUGGUCACGGGACAUAGGGGUACCCCUGAAUGCAAUAAUACACUCAGAAGAUGGAGGCACAGAUGGAAUAAAUCAGGGAAGGAAAUUCCACUGGAGUACCACCAACAAGUAAUAAAAUGCAUCGAAAUAGGGUCACUCUGCCAGAAGGAAAAUCCCUAUGCACGGCCUUUUAUAUCAGACGUAAUGGGCAAACUAUUUGAAAUGGAAAAUUUGAAUGACCACAGCUGGAAUGCCGACGAAUCAACGGUUGGCCAGAUAAAUCUGCCAACUUGGGAAGACGACAUGCUUGGAGUUGAGCCGCUUGAGUUACAGUUUGCGUAUAACAAGCAGGAGGACAUAUUGUCAUGUUUAGUUGAGCUAAGCAAUGAUACGGAUGGUUUCAUUUUCUUCGAGAUUCAAAAGAUCAGACCGUUGCCAUAUUCAAUAAAGCCAAACAAGGACAUCCUGAAACCACGAUCCAAAUGUUGCGUGAUAAUAACAUUGCCAGCAGCACACACGGCAGCACUGCAGUCCAGUACUAGUAAUAAGCGAUAUACCAAGGAGUUCGUGGUGCGAAGCACUAAAGUGAAUGAAGAUCUUUCAACCAAGAAUAUUAACCAAGACCUGUUCGAUAAACAUACAGAGGGCCAGCACAUCGAUGAGAUUCAUUUGGGGGCUCUUUCUGAAGAACCCCGCAGCCAAGAGACAAUCGACUUCUCAAGGAAUGAGGCCAUGGAACAACACACAAGCUCGGGGAGGAACCCAUUGCCAACACCGAUCGAAGCUGGGCUUGUGCAGCUGGCCAUCAAGAACAACACAAAGGCUUCAUCCGAGAAGUGUAACAAAAAGGUGAUGCUGGAGAUCAGCGGCUGCGCCACUACCUGUGACCGGCUGGGUCUUGACCUGGUGGUCGUCCUGCAUGCUAGUCGCAACAUGGACAGUGAGAAGAUGGACCAUGUGAAGAUGGCCAUGCGGUUUGUCUUGCGGAAGCUAAGCCCCAUGGACCGCCUCUCCAUCAUCACAAUUUUUUCUGAUUCUGCCGUGAAGCUGUGCCCACUGCAGCAGAUCACCGAGUCCUCACGGCGGAAGCUAGAUGAUCUCAUUGACGGCCUAAAAGCCAUUGGUGACUUUUACACCCACAUCAAGGGCGGCCUCCUGACCGGGCUCAAAGUCCUCACAUACCGCAAUGACAGCAGCGACCGCAUCGCUGGAAUCAUGCUCAUGAGCAACGACCAGCAAGCUGGAGGUGGUGGUGGUGCUACUCAGAUUAAUUUGGGCAACGUGCCUGUCUACACGUUUGGUUUUGGCAUGAACAGUGACCACACAGUACUCAGCAUGAUCGCCGCCAACAGUAUGGGAGGGACGUUCUCCCACAUCCGGGACCAGGACAUUGGCAGUGGAGGCCUGACAAUGGCCUUCUCCCAGUGCCUUGCCGGUCUGCUAACUGUCUCGGUUCAGAACCUUGAGCUGACGGUGGCACCUGUCGGACAUGAGUCGGAGAUAUUGAACGUGACCGCAGGAAGCUAUCCGAAGACGCAGGCCGGGGGCUCAGUAACAGUUAGGUUUGGCAACAUCUACAGCAGGGAAGUGCGCAAGGUCGUUGUCAACCUCCGCCUCCCUGCUAUCGGGAGUGAGCACAGUGCCGAGAUCCUAAAGGUCAUGUACUCAUAUGGAAGCAGAUCUGCUGGGAGGCAGAAGUUUGUCGUGACUCCUGAGGCGCUGACCGUGUGGCGCACCAGCGUGGAUGUCUCAGACUUAGAGGAGGAGGAGAAGCAGGUGGACUUAAAGAGGGAGGAGGCCCGUCUGAGGACGGCCAAGACAAUCAAGAAAGUGACAAACUUCUACGAUGGCGUUGUGCUGGCCCGUCUGCAGAAUGUCUAUGACAAGCUGCUGCUGGUGGAGUCCCGGAACAUGCCGGAGGAUCAGUUCAGGAUCGAGCUGCGGGAGCUCUUGGAGGUCUGCAAGACCCAUGCAUCCUACAAGGAGCAUGGCCGCGCAUACGCGUUGUCGUCCGAGUCUUCACACGGCUGGCAGCGUUUCGCUGGGAGGGGUGGUGACAUCGAUGCAAUGCGUCUGUUCGCAACGCCACGAAUGAACAAGUACCUGGAGCAGGCCAGGAAGUUCCACAAAGAACCGCGGAUGCCAGUGCCGUCAGCGGAUGACGAUGUCGAGGAGGAGAUCACUGAUGAUCCUAUGGUCAAUGUCGGCAGUAGGGACAUAAACAAACUAUGA